rnacentral:lncRNA from 10 species
GAAACUGGAAACUCUGGCCUGUCGGCUACUUUUGCUCGUACCAGCAGGUGUGCACUGCCGCGUCAAUCUCCAACAAAGCCGGAAAAGCAGCCUGGCGCAUGUGCAAAGGAAGUCCCUCCUACCACUACCGAGCCGAGAUGACCAAUGGGAGACGGCCAUCUGCGCCUGCGCAAAAAAGUCGCCAAUGUUCAUUUCCGGUCUUUUUCGCCCCGCCCUUCAAAUGCGAAAGCGACUGCCUUCUUGGAAUAAAAUACUUGGUCAGUGGAAUCUCUUCAACAAAAUAGAAGAGAAGCAGUCAUGGAGUGAAGAAAUAAAUCAUCUUUGUUUCUACUCAUCUGUCACUUAUGCAAUACAUACAAUAUGUAAAAAGGAAAAAUCCCUGUGUAAUAGCCUAAGGCAACCAGCAGCUUCCACGUCGGUUGGAUAUUAAUAAAUUUUUUUCUUUACUGUAAAAUAUACCCAUCAGCUUUUUUUUUUUUUUUUUUUUUUGAGAUGGAGUCUUGCACUGUCACCCAGGCUGGAGUGCAGUGGCGCAAUCUCCACCCACUGCAAGCUCUGCCUCCUGGGUUCACACCAUUCUCCUGCCUCAGCCUCCCAAGUAGCUGGGACUACAGGCGCCCGCCACCACACCCGGCUAGUUUUUUGUACUUUUAGUAGAGACGAGGUUUCACCAUAUUAGCCAGGAUGGUCUCGAUCUCCUGACCUCGUGAUCCACCUGCCUCGGCCUCCCAAAGUGCUGGGAUUACAGGCAUGAGCCACCGCACCCGGCCACUAGCUUUUCUAAGACACUUUGUUUGUUUUUAAAUACCAGACCUCUGCUAUGACAAUGUUUGAUUUUGUAAACUUCAGGUCAAAUCAUGUCUUCUGAAAAGUAACUGCAUAUAAAACACGUUGAGACAUUUGCUUAAGAUGUUGAUCCUGGUUUCAAGUAACAGCAUAAGGGAAUUCCUUUGAAUUUUCUUUUAUCAAGCACCCUUUACUAACAUCACAAAGAUGCAUGCAUAUUCCUUCAUUUAGUAUUUAUUGAAUGUCUACUAUGUGCAAGGCACUCACCCAUGGCCUGACAGACCACAUUCAAGUACAAAGAAUCAUUAGAG